GGAGGUAUAGUGCAGUGGUGGAGUGCGUGCUUAGCAUGCACGAGGUCCUGGGUUCAAUCCCCAGUACCUCCA
rnacentral:tRNA from 1 species